UACGUAGGUGGCAAGCGUUGUCCGGAUUUACUGGGCGUAAAGAGCGCGCAGGCGGUCGUCCAAGUCGCGUGUGAAAGCCCCCCGGCUCAACUGGGGAGGGUCACGCGAUACUGGUCGACUCGAAGGCAGGAGAGGGUAGUGGAAUUCCCGGUGUAGGUGGUAGAAUGCGUAGAUAGUCGGGAGGAACACCAGUGGCGAAGGCGACUACCUGGCCUGUUCUUGACGCUGAGGCGCGAAAGCUAGGGGAGCAAACGGG
rnacentral:rRNA from 1 species